UGCUCCGUUUGCCCAGUGGUUAAAGCGUCCACCCCCGAUGCGGGAGGUCGCGGGUUUGAACCCCGGCCGAGUCA